CUGGCGGCGUGCUUAACACAUGCAAGUCGAGGGGCAGCACGGGGUAUGGCUUGCCAUUCCCUGGUGGCGACCGGCGCACGGGUGAGUAACGCGUAUCCAACCUGCCCGCAACCGCGGAAUAGCCCGCCGAAAGGCGGAUUAAUGCCGCAUGAGCUCGCGUGGGGGCAUCUGCCCGCGAGCAAAGGUUCACUCCGGUUGCGGAUGGGGAUGCGUCCGAUUAGGCAGCAGGCGGGGCAACGGCCCACCUGGCCUACGAUCGGUAGGGGUUCUGAGAGGAAGGUCCCCCACAUUGGAACUGAGACACGGUCCAGACUCCUACGGGAGGCAGCAGUGAGGAAUAUUGGUCAAUGGGCGCAAGCCUGAACCAGCCAUGCCGCGUGCAGGAAUAAGGCCCUAUGGGUCGUAAACUGCUUUUGUGGUGGAGCAAUAAGGUGUACGCGUACAUCGAUGAGAGUACAUCACGAAUAAGCAUCGGCUAACUCCGUGCC
rnacentral:rRNA from 1 species